UGGGGAUGCACACCCUGGCGACGCAGAGGAAAUCCUUCAAGCCCCACCCACCACAACAAAGGCAAUACCAACCUCGCCCUAGCCAAGAGCCAUACCGUAGGAGAGGCAGGGACAAUAGGCGUAGGUGGACCAACAGGCUUAGCCAAGGCCAGGGCCAGGGCAAGCCGCAACCGGGCAUCAAAUGGGUUUUGAAGGUGCACUUGAGGACAGCGCACUGAACCAGUUAUCGGAUCCUUCCCUAUGUUCCCUGAACCGCUUGUCCCGCUUAUACCGUGCACAGUCCCAUAUAACAUUGGACUAUUGGGUCCUACUCAUGGUGAAAGUGGGAUACAUGCUUCGGUUCUCCUCCUCCUCUUCCUCCCAUCCCCCUUCCCCAUCCCUUUUCAGAGAUCCCUCUCAUGAGCAACUCCUGAUGCAGGAGGUACAGAUGCUCCUCAACACGGGGGCUGUGGAAGAGGUCCAUCAGAACCUAAGGGGAAAGGGGUUUUACUCACAUUAUUGCCUUAUCCCAAAGCAAAGGGGGUCUUUGACCCAUUUUAGACCUGUGCGGAUUCAACAAAUUCUUAGUCAAGGUCCACUUCUGCAUUGUCUCCCUUGGCUCUAUUAUCCCAUCCCUGGAUCUGAGGGAUUGGUACGCUGCCCUCGAUAUGAAAGAUGCAUACUUUCACGUCGCCAUUCAUUCCGCUCACCAGCGGUUCCUGCGGUUCACCAUAAACCAACACCAUUACCAGUUUACGGUCCUACCCUUCGGCCUGGCGACAGCCUCAUGUAUGUUCACGAAAUGCAUGUCAGUAGUGGCAGCCUUUCUUUGCAGAAGAAGAAUGCGAGUAUACCCGUACUUAGACGACUGGCUCCUAGUGAGUCGGUCCAAGGAGGAGGUCCGCUCCCACAUGCCAAUGGCACUAGACGUAUUCCUCUGACUAGGAGACCUAGCCUAUGUGCACAAGUCCUCCCUGAUACCCGCACAGAGGCUGGAGUUCAUUGGGGCAGUCCUGGACGGUACAGGCGUGAGCGAGCCUCCCAGAAUCCAGAUUUCUGGCCACCCAGCAUGCCAUAGACUCAAUGCUGAGGUUCCC
rnacentral:lncRNA from 1 species